rnacentral:lncRNA from 1 species
GGCGGUGGUCGCCGGCCAGGAAGCGGGGCGAUGGUGGGCGCUGGCCAGAGAGCAGCAGCGACGGGUGAGCUGGCCGGAAGCAGGGGACGCAGGGGUGGCUGCGGCUUCUUCUUCCUCUCGUGUUUUUCUUUUCUUUCUUUUUUCUUUUUUUUUUUUUUAACGAGAUGGGGCAGCGAGGAGGUCGAGCGGUGGUCGAAGGUCGCUGGCCGGGGAAAUAGUGACAACGGUGAAGAAAGAGUUGCCUUGUAGUGGUGGUGGGGAAGAAGGGAAGCAAGGCUGCAGCGGGCUGCGCCAAGGAUCGUUGCUCUGAUACCAAAUGAUAAUAC